UACAGAGGGGGCAAGCGUUGUUCGGAAUUACUGGGCGUUAAGGGCGCGUAGGCGGCCUUCUAAGUCGAACGUGAAAUCCCGGGCUCAACCCGGGAACUGCGUCCGAUACUGGAAGGCUUGAAUCCGGGAGAGGGAUGUGGAAUUCCAGGUGUAGCGGUGAAAUGCGUAGAUAUCUGGAGGAACACCGGUGGCGAAGGCGACAUCCUGGACCGGUAUUGACGCUGAGGCGCGAAAGCCAGGGGAGCAAACGGG
rnacentral:rRNA from 1 species